UACGUAGGGUGCGAGCGUUGUCCGGAAUUAUUGGGCGUAAAGAGCUUGUAGGCGGUUUGUCGCGUCUGCUGUGAAAUCUCAAGGCUCAACCUCGAGCUUGCAGUGGGUACGGGCAGACUAGAGUGUGGUAGGGGAGACUGGAAUUCCUGGUGUAGCGGUGAAAUGCGCAGAUAUCAGGAGGAACACCGAUGGCGAAGGCAGGUCUCUGGGCCACUACUGACGCUGAGAAGCGAAAGCAUGGGGAGCGAACAGG
rnacentral:rRNA from 1 species